UGAUCAUGGCUCAGGACGAACGCUGGCGGCGUGCUUAACACAUGCAAGUCGAACGAGAAUCUAUGGAAAGAGGAUUCGUCCAAUUGAAAUAGAGGACAGUGGCGGACGGGUGAGUAACGCGUGAGGAACCUGCCUUUCAGAGGGGGACAACAGUUGGAAACGACUGCUAAUACCGCAUAACACAUAGGGGUCGCAUGGCUCUUAUGUCAAAGAUUUAUCGCUGAAAGAUGG
rnacentral:rRNA from 1 species